GGCAGGUAAAGGUCACUUAUUAGACAUUUAUUUCGUGGAGGUUCACAGGCGAUGGUAGCGGAAGAGUUCCCGCCGGCACAUGGGACACGUGUGACUCACAUCCAUUAAACUGUCCACGCAGAAGGGGAAGAGACAGCAGCCCAGGAUACACCUGCAGCCUCAGGAGCAGUGGGCCGUGGGCCAGGGGCCAGGCUGGGUGCGCCCCGCCAAGCCUGCACCCCCGCUGCUUGGCCCUGCCCUGCCUCCUCUGCCCGGACAGCCCUCCCCAGCCAGCAGACCCUCCCCCGCCGAUGGCCGGGGUGCCAACUCACCCAAACAUGAAGAGGCCUGUACACAGCAACCAGAGAACUCGGGAAAGAACUGGCUGGAAGGAGUGACCCACGGGCUCUAUGGUCUUGACAACAGUGAGGAUGCCGCCUUCGCUCUGGCCACCGGGAAUUCACAACCGAAUCCAGCAGCUCUCAGCCUUCCCAGUGUUCCCGAAUUCCCCGGCAAGUGUUUAACAAUCCCCAAGCCCAGGCCCCACCUGGGGGUCGGCACCCCCUCACCUGUGGUUGGGGUAGCGCCUUGGCAGAGUAGA